rnacentral:rRNA from 1 species
GAACGCUGAAGGAGGAGCUUGCUUCUCUGGAUGAGUUGCGAACGGGUGAGUAACGCGUAGGUAACCUGCCUGGUAGCGGGGGAUAACUAUUGGAAACGAUAGCUAAUACCGCAUAAGAGUAGAUGUUGCAUGACAUUUGCUUAAAAGGUGCAAUUGCAUCACUACCAGAUGGACCUGCGUUGUAUUAGCUAGUUGGUGGGGUAACGGCUCACCAAGGCGACGAUACAUAGCCGACCUGAGAGGGUGAUCGGCCACACUGGGACUGAGACACGGCCCAGACUCCUACGGGAGGCAGCAGUAGGGAAUCUUCGGCAAUGGACGGAAGUCUGACCGAGCAACGCCGCGUGAGUGAAGAAGGUUUUCGGAUCGUAAAGCUCUGUUGUAAGAGAAGAACGAGUGUGAGAGUGGAAAGUUCACACUGUGACGGUAUCUUACCAGAAAGGGACGGCUAACUACGUGCCAGCAGCCGCGGUAAUACGUAGGUCCCGAGCGUUGUCCGGAUUUAUUGGGCGUAAAGCGAGCGCAGGC